AGCAAACUUCUGCACCCUUAAGGAGUUCUUGUCGGGUCUUCUGGCCACAGUGACAAGGACCUGAGCAAAGUGGGCACCGCCCUUCUGCCUCUCCUGCCGUCAGGACUCAAAUGGAUCCUGGGGGCCAGGCCUCCAGCUGCUCCUCGGCACCUCUCCUCUGGGCUUCCCAGUGUUCCGUCAGGCCACAGGACUCUGAGGAGCCUGCCAACAGAGACGCACAGGGACCCGCCGGCCCCAGCCCCAGUGUGCGUCCUGAAGCUUCGAAGGUGGGUUUUGUUGUUAUUGUUUGGGCAGAAAUUACUGAAAUCCUUUAAAUUACCUCAAGAAAAGUUAGAUCUUCCUCAGUUUCCAAAGUCUUUAGCCUGGGUAUGGAUGUAACAUUGAAGAGCCACAUGGACGAAGUUUUGAUCCUUUUAAAAUUUUCCCUCCGGAAAAAAAAAAAAGUGAAAGGAAUUGAAAGGAAGGGAGGGAGGGAGGGAGGGAGGGAGAAUUUCAAUCAACAUUCUCUGAGAGUCUCAGCUGCCCCUGACAGCCUCACCCAGCCCCAGGCCCUGGUUUGUCCACUGUAAGGAUUUUGCUUCUGCAGACAAAAUAUUUCCACCAAGGUCUUCUCAGGUAACUAAGAACAGAGUAGGGAGGAAGAGCAUGAGAAGGAGAUUGACAUUAGACAGGGAUGAGAGGUGGGAGGGAAAGGGAGAGAGAAGGGAAAUUGCAUGGAAAUGGAAGGAGACCCUCAGAGUUAUACAAAAGUACAUACAAGAGGAAGUGAGGGGAAGGGGAAAAAUAAUACAAGGGGGAGAAAUGAAUGACAGUAGAGGGGGCAGAGAGAGAAGAGGGGAGGGGAGGGGAGGAGAAGGGGGAUAGUAGAGGAUGGGAAAGGCAGCAGAACACAACAGACACUAGUAUGGCAAUAUGUAAAUCAAUGGAUGUGUAACUGAUGUGAUUCUGCAAUCUGUGUAUGGGGUAAAAAUGGGAGUUCAUAACCCACUUGAAUCAAAGUGUGAAAUAUGAUAUAUCAAGAACUAUGUAAUGUUUUCAACAACCAACAAUAAAAAUUUAAAAAAAAAAAGGUCUUCUCAGGCCACCCACUUUUACCUCCUGCUGAUUAACUAGGUCUCCUCUGAGGGACUUACUGAUUCCUCUUUGCUCAAACUCUGUGAGUGUUAAACUCUAACUUGCAAAAUUAACUUUAACCUAGACCUUCUAUUCCUGUUAGACACAGAUUAAUAAUUGAUAAUGUUAUUAUAAACCAACUACUGACCUUUGCUUGGGAUUAUUUUAUUACUCUUCACAUAGGUUAGUCUGGGGAUGUGGCUCAGGUGCCCUCCCCAGCACUGCAAAUCAUCAUAAUAAAUAAAGGUGCAGUAUGUGUGUGGAUUAGUUGAGUGAAGCCACGUUGGCACAGCAUUAAGGGCUCAAACUUGUCAUGCACCAUGCAUACCUUAACACCCUCACAAGAGGCGGCAGGAAGGGUUUCACAUUGAACCUGAAGUGCUCUGUGCCCCUGCUCACUGGGCACAGCCUCUCCUGUCUCCCAUCUUGCCCUGGGUGGUGGGACCUGCAGCCCACUGUCCCACUCCAGGCCUGCUUCCACUGGGGAAAGUCACAUCUGAAAACCCGAGUGUCACAGAACAUGAAGGAUGCUCUCAUCUGUCCCUCCCUCUCCCUCUGUCUUCAUGGGGGUCCAGACAUUUACAUAGGCACAGAGAGGUCCACCCACCACUUUCACCAGCACUGGUGGGAAACCUUUCUCCUGUGAGGAGCCGACGACUGGUGACCAGGUGCCCACGGACAAGGUGGGAGGGUCUCUGCUCAGUGAGAGCUUGCUGCUCAGAGCCAGCUGCCACCAUAGGGUGGGGACGAGUGGUGACUGCUGAGCACAGGGCAGUGGGGGCCAGUCCUAUGAACCCAGAGAUAAGGCCCUUUCCUCCAGGAGAACAUGAGAUUGGUUUCCAGGUUCCUGUGAGUCGCUAAAGGGUCCUGAGAGGGACACAGAGGACUAGAGAGAGCCCUACCUUGCAGGAGCAGGGAGUUGGUUCAGAAAGGACUGCAGGGUGCCAGAGGGCAGGAGAGUUAAGAGGGGCUCCAACCAAGUCAGGCAACGGGAGCAGCAGAAUGAGAAGGCAAGUGUGCAGGCCCCGGGGACAGGCUGGUCCACAUUCCCCCCUGCGUCCCCCACUCCUCCUGCCUCCAGGAGAUCAUCUCCAUGUCUGCUGUCUGCGUCUUGCCACGCUGACUUCCCCCGUGGAAGGAGGAGUUGGCUGCUGAUGCGUGGGGAGGAGGGCAGGGGGGCUGGCCCUUCCUCACGUCCUCUAGGGGGCAGGUGCCUGGGAAUGCACUUGGAUGUGUAAGAAGGGAGGCGGGCAAUGACCUGUCCUGGUGCGUAUGAGGGGCAAGAUGUGCUCCCUCUGCCCCAGAUGUGGGGUGCAACACGCAGAGGCAUGUCCACCUGCAGGUACAGCUGGACACCUGGGUACCAACUUUAUCAAAAAUGAUGGUGCCAUUUCAUUUCCAAUCUAGGUGAUUGGUUUUCUCAGUUGGUUUAGGAUCCAGACGAGGGAAAAGGGUGUUGCUUCCUGGGUAGAGAACAAGUGAGGGCCUCUCCAGGGAUUGCUAUCAAGAGGCUGCUCUCAGUAGGUCCUGGCUUCAUGUUUGUGUCCAGCGAAUGGAUUACCAAAAACACGGACUAGUCAAGUCACAUGAGAACAUGAGCUCAGGCCAACAGCAGGCUUCUCUGUGACACUGCUCCUCCUUCACAGGUCAUAUGCAGAAUGUCCAUGGCUUACAUCUCAGACCCUCAAAUUCAAAAAAAUUCAGAAGAGAAAGGGCAAAAAUUCACUAUGAGCAAGGAACAGUACAAAAGAGAGCACACAGUUACUCCCAAAGAACUGUAGGUAGCAUGAAUAUUUAUGUGGUGCACCAUAAAAUAAUAAUUUUAAAAUGAUUCAAAUAGUAUUUAAAAUUGAAUUCCAAAUUUUAGGUGGAAACAAAAAUUCUCUGAAUUUAAGAUACCAAAAUGACUAAAUGGAGAGACAGAGUCCCAAGAAAAUUGAGAUCCAAGAGAAAAGAAAUUGGGAAAGAGGCUGGUUACUAGAGGGUGCUGAGAUGUGAAGGUCUCUCACUUCCUUGCUCAGGUUGGAAAUGUAGCUGCAAAAGCAACCCCGUGAGUGGUGGGCCCUUGGGAAGGAGGCCUCCUCCUUCCCAGGUGGGGUCAGUGCCUUAGGAUCUGGCCAGACUGAGGCCUCCUCCUUCCCAGGUGGGGUCAGUGCCUUAGGACCUGGCCAGACUGAGGCCUCCUCCUUCCCAGGUGGGGUCAGUGCUUUAGAUCUGGCCAGGCUGAGGCCUCCUCCUUCCCAGGUGGGGUCAGUGCCUUAGAUCUGGCCAGACUGAGGCCUCCUCCUUCCCAGGUGGGGUCAGUGCCUUAGAUCUGGCCAGACUGAGGCCUCCUCCUUCCCAGGUGGGGUCAGUGCCUUAGGACCUGGCCAGGCUGAGGCCUCCUCCUUCCCAGGUGGGGUCAGUGCCUUAGCUCUGGCCAGGCUGAGCUGCCUGAAAGAGGGUUUUCGGGGUGGCUUCCCUCCCUUUACCACUCUGUCUUCUACUUGGAAUGAUGCACAAGACAGCAUUGGCCAGACUCCAGGCCCUGGACUGGACAUCCCAGCCUCCACAACCAGGAAAUACGCUUCUGCUCAUCAUUAACCACCUAACUGUGGCUGUAAUGGUCCCAUAAAGCAGCAAGAAAGUGGGGUGGCCCGCCUCUCCCCGCAUUACGGUGCUCCAAAUUGUCAGAAGAGGAAGGUGAUCACACGGGAGCAGGAAGCUGGCCAAGGGGGCCAAAGCUGGUCUCCCUUGGGCCCUUCAGUAGAUUAUGCUUUCCUAAGAUGUGGCCACCCCUGAGACGGGCUGCAGAGCCCUCUGGUGACCUCGUUAGGAGGGGGGUCCUCCUGGGCCUGCCUUCAGCAGGGUCUUCUGCAGCUGCCCUUGGGUCCUUGGCUUAUCACAUCAGCAUGCCCACAGAAGGGCCAGAGAGGGCCCCGGGUGGUUUAAAGAAGCAGGCAGUACCUUAAACCUGUGGGAAGGGAAGCCCUGUCCUCUCCUCUGCGAGGUCCCAGCGUCCCAUGGAGCCUCACCAGCGGGAGCACCAGUCUCCUUCCGCCUAGUGUUGGUUCCAAAUCUCCACGUGUCCAGAAGUAUAGGACAAUCUCACCUAAAUUUAGAUAGAUUUUUCUAAGUCCUGGUGACUUAAGAUAAUUGGCCACACCUAAAUCCACAAAUGCUGGCAGCCACAGCCCACCUGCCCCUUCCUAGAUGAGAGUGCUUCCUUGUGCUUGGGCACGGACACCAAGUCUAGUGGCACAUCUUCCAGGAAUGAACCUAAACCUCUUCCCCAACUUGGAGUAGUGUGGCCCUCUGUGUCACGCAGCUCUGCCCUGUCCUCUGCCCACUGUCUGGUCCUUUUNCCCCAGAUGUGGGGUGCAACACGCAGAGGCAUGUCCACCUGCAGGUACAGCUGGACACCUGGGUACCAACUUUAUCAAAAAUGAUGGUGCCAUUUCAUUUCCAAUCUAGGUGAUUGGUUUUCUCAGUUGGUUUAGGAUCCAGACGAGGGAAAAGGGUGUUGCUUCCUGGGUAGAGAACAAGUGAGGGCCUCUCCAGGGAUUGCUAUCAAGAGGCUGCUCUCAGUAGGUCCUGGCUUCAUGUUUGUGUCCAGCGAAUGGAUUACCAAAAACACGGACUAGUCAAGUCACAUGAGAACAUGAGCUCAGGCCAACAGCAGGCUUCUCUGUGACACUGCUCCUCCUUCACAGGUCAUAUGCAGAAUGUCCAUGGCUUACAUCUCAGACCCUCAAAUUCAAAAAAAUUCAGAAGAGAAAGGGCAAAAAUUCACUAUGAGCAAGGAACAGUACAAAAGAGAGCACACAGUUACUCCCAAAGAACUGUAGGUAGCAUGAAUAUUUAUGUGGUGCACCAUAAAAUAAUAAUUUUAAAAUGAUUCAAAUAGUAUUUAAAAUUGAAUUCCAAAUUUUAGGUGGAAACAAAAAUUCUCUGAAUUUAAGAUACCAAAAUGACUAAAUGGAGAGACAGAGUCCCAAGAAAAUUGAGAUCCAAGAGAAAAGAAAUUGGGAAAGAGGCUGGUUACUAGAGGGUGCUGAGAUGUGAAGGUCUCUCACUUCCUUGCUCAGGUUGGAAAUGUAGCUGCAAAAGCAACCCCGUGAGUGGUGGGCCCUUGGGAAGGAGGCCUCCUCCUUCCCAGGUGGGGUCAGUGCCUUAGGAUCUGGCCAGACUGAGGCCUCCUCCUUCCCAGGUGGGGUCAGUGCCUUAGGACCUGGCCAGACUGAGGCCUCCUCCUUCCCAGGUGGGGUCAGUGCUUUAGAUCUGGCCAGGCUGAGGCCUCCUCCUUCCCAGGUGGGGUCAGUGCCUUAGAUCUGGCCAGACUGAGGCCUCCUCCUUCCCAGGUGGGGUCAGUGCCUUAGAUCUGGCCAGACUGAGGCCUCCUCCUUCCCAGGUGGGGUCAGUGCCUUAGGACCUGGCCAGGCUGAGGCCUCCUCCUUCCCAGGUGGGGUCAGUGCCUUAGCUCUGGCCAGGCUGAGCUGCCUGAAAGAGGGUUUUCGGGGUGGCUUCCCUCCCUUUACCACUCUGUCUUCUACUUGGAAUGAUGCACAAGACAGCAUUGGCCAGACUCCAGGCCCUGGACUGGACAUCCCAGCCUCCACAACCAGGAAAUACGCUUCUGCUCAUCAUUAACCACCUAACUGUGGCUGUAAUGGUCCCAUAAAGCAGCAAGAAAGUGGGGUGGCCCGCCUCUCCCCGCAUUACGGUGCUCCAAAUUGUCAGAAGAGGAAGGUGAUCACACGGGAGCAGGAAGCUGGCCAAGGGGGCCAAAGCUGGUCUCCCUUGGGCCCUUCAGUAGAUUAUGCUUUCCUAAGAUGUGGCCACCCCUGAGACGGGCUGCAGAGCCCUCUGGUGACCUCGUUAGGAGGGGGGUCCUCCUGGGCCUGCCUUCAGCAGGGUCUUCUGCAGCUGCCCUUGGGUCCUUGGCUUAUCACAUCAGCAUGCCCACAGAAGGGCCAGAGAGGGCCCCGGGUGGUUUAAAGAAGCAGGCAGUACCUUAAACCUGUGGGAAGGGAAGCCCUGUCCUCUCCUCUGCGAGGUCCCAGCGUCCCAUGGAGCCUCACCAGCGGGAGCACCAGUCUCCUUCCGCCUAGUGUUGGUUCCAAAUCUCCACGUGUCCAGAAGUAUAGGACAAUCUCACCUAAAUUUAGAUAGAUUUUUCUAAGUCCUGGUGACUUAAGAUAAUUGGCCACACCUAAAUCCACAAAUGCUGGCAGCCACAGCCCACCUGCCCCUUCCUAGAUGAGAGUGCUUCCUUGUGCUUGGGCACGGACACCAAGUCUAGUGGCACAUCUUCCAGGAAUGAACCUAAACCUCUUCCCCAACUUGGAGUAGUGUGGCCCUCUGUGUCACGCAGCUCUGCCCUGUCCUCUGCCCACUGUCUGGUCCUUUUACUCUCCCACGUGACAUGUUUCAGGGGAAGUGCUAUGAUGUGUGUCCGCCCAACACCGCAGGUGCUGCACACAGUAGGGCUUGGGAAGUGCUUGCCAGGUUGCAAGUCUGCACCUUUGGAGGAGAGAGAACAACCCUGGGAGGAAAGAAUAAUCUGGCUUCACAGCAGUUGAGCUCAUAGCAAAGGAGACUUGAGAACUCAAAUCGUCUCUUUCUGAAUCUAAUAAUUGCUUGCAACAUCAUUGUCUUCCCUCUGUCCAUCUUCACAGGACUGAAAGUUGCUGCUAGCCAUUAAAAAAAACGGUUUCUUGAUCUCUGACCACCACCAUUGGCACAUGUGAAGCUUUAAUUGAACCGUUCUUGUUUUCCUCCAACACUGGUAACUUCCUCAGGCCCCGGGAGGGGCUUCUAGCCAAUGGCUCCAUUUGAACUCCUGGAACAGUGAGAGAGAGGUCACACGAGGGACCUCCCCAAUCUAGGCAGCUUUGACAUCUGGCCAGAGUCACAUGCUGGGUUAAUCCAAUUAUAUGGAAAUGGUAGUUUUUAAAGAAAACAAAACUCAUGCUGAGUUUUGGCAGAAAACAAAGUAGAGUAGAUGUGGGUUCCUUUUAGUGUUGGUCUUCAAGUAAUUGAGUUCACGCAGACUUGUGUUUGGAGGUGAACGGUUCAGCAGGCACAAGCGGUGUUUGCCCAGGUCUCUCCUGUCACUGGGGAGGGGCGCCCUCUGAGGGCACUCCACCCAGCUCUCCAGAGUGGUAGUUCAGCUGCCGUCUGUCCUUAAUCCAUUUUCUUCUGUUUUGACUCUCCUCCAAAUGUUCAGUGCUCUAAUCCAGAGCCCAAGUCCUGACACCCUUAUUUGGUUUAUUACACAAAGGAAUCACCACAUGUGCCAGCCACGUGCAUCAGGGCAGGAGGGAAUUUAUCAUCGUCAAGUAAAUUAACUCCUGGAAGUUUGCAAUGAAGGAUCCUAAUAAUAUAAGACUGCACGUCAAAUUAAAGCUUCCUGGAGGUGUUUCACAGGCAAACAGCAGCUUUCCGUCACUGUGACAGAACACCUGAGGUGGUCAACGUAAGAGGAGGAAAGGUGGAUUUUGGCUCGUGGUUUCGUAAGUCCAUGUGGCAGCAUGAUCCAUUAUGGCAGGGGUGCCUGGCAGAGGGGUCUGCUCAACUUGUGGUGGCCAGGAAGAGACAGGGCGAAACCAAAGUCCAAAUAUUCCCCUCAAGGACGUGCUCUCCAAAGACCUGGACACGCUCCAGGCUGCCCAGUGUUCUGGAUCAUCAUGGGGGCCCAUUUCAGAGGAGAUAUUCUUACUGACUUUUAUGCAUUGAAUCAGCAGCUAGAAUUUUACAAUACACAUUUUAUUAUAAAAUAGUUUAAAAUUUGCAGGAAAAAAAUGACAGAAGAGUACAGGUAUUUCCCAUACGACCGUGUCUACACUUCUUUAUGAUCAACACCCUACCUGAAUAUGGUGCAGUGCCUCGGGUAGAGGCGCUAUGACUCAUAAAAUCUGAAGUUGAUACAGAGGUUCCCAGUGUCUCCUAGUGUGUCUCCCGUUCCAGGAUCCCACUGGGAUGUGGCACUGCCUUUCUGCAGUAUGUCUCUAGGCUCCCCUUUCCUGGGGGUUUCUCAGGCGUUUCUUGCUUCUGACGGCCUUGACAGUUUGAGGCACGGUCAAGUCAGUAUGGAUCUCACUUUGAUUUGCCUGAUGUCCGGCUCAGGGCUGGCCAGGCUGUGGGCUUUGUGAAGAAUGUGCAGGUGAAGUGCCGUUCCCAUGACUUGCUGUCCCCAUGUCAGAGUGGACCUUGCUCACUCGGCCGAGGUGGUCAUUUCCCCCACUGCCACCUGGCUUCCCCCCUCUUGCUCUUCUUUGGAAGAAAGGUUUUGCGCACAGCCUGCUCUUACAGGGGGCUAGCUCCAUUUCCUUGAGGGUGGAUCCUCCACACAAAUUAUUUGACUGUUUUACACAAGAAUUCGUGUACUUCUCCCAUUACCGUGUUACACAAUCCAUCGUUUACGUCAACAUGGGAUCAUAGAUAAGCUCUUUAUACUUUGGGAUAUAACCCAAUGCCACAUUUCUUGUGUGUUACUGGAGGACAGUCAGUUCUAUCACUCAGCUCAAUCUUCCUUCCGACACACCCCCAUAUUGUGUGUGUGUGUGUGUGUGUCCACACAGGUGAGUAUGCAUUGUGCUCUUUGUGUCUUCUCCCACUAAGAUGCUCAAGGUUCAUCUUGAAUAUUUCCUACCCUGGUCCUAAAAUGAUCUGUCAUUUCUCCAAGGGACCUUGGCCCCUUUUAUUGGAGAAAAGUAUUGGAUAACAAGUGGGUGGUAGUUAUGGUUGUUACUACAGAGAGCCAGUGCUUCUGGGUCCUCCCAGAUUUUGGAACAAAGAGUAGUUGUGUAUAUACUAACUCAUGCAUGUGGGCGGGUCUAGGAAUACUCGACCAUAAUCACCUGCGCAUGCAUUAGGCUGAGCGUAAAUUCACACAAUGCCUCAACUCUUAGUCCAUUCCCAUAUCUGUAGCCUCCAGCAGUGAGAAACCUGGGUCACAACAUGCCUUCACCACUAAUGGAUCAUUUCCAUCACACACCUACAGCUGAAUCAACAUUAACUGUACCCGUGGGGAAACUGCAUGCAUUGCUCAUGUGCAGGCUUUGGUUUCUUGGUCUUAUGAUGCCUGCUCAUCUACAAAGAUACUUAGGGCAAUACUUUUCUUCCCUCCCACCUCCGUGAAGUGCAAUAUAGUCGAGUAUUCUGUCACAGUCACUUUCAUGGGGAUGUCCUUCCCCUCAUUCAUGGGAUCAUAGAUAAGCUUGAAUGAAGCUUUACUGUUUGUUCUAUAAAGUGGCAAAUGCAUAGUGACCUUCUUUCACUAACCUAUAUGAAUUUUAAAAUAAUCCAUGUCUUCACAAUACUUGAUGGCUUAUUUUUUACUGCUGAAUGAUAUUUUAUUAUUUGUAUAUUCCUCAUUUCAUUAAUUAUCAAUCUAUCAAAGGACAGAGGUGUCAUUGCUCCCAGGUUCGUUGAACAUUUAAAAAGCUCCUGCUGUGUAGAUAUUCACAUGUAGACACGUGUGAGUAUGAGUUUAAAUUGACUGAGUAAAUGCCUAGGAGUAGAGUGGCUUGUUUGGAUUUGGCUUCACAGGAAACUGCCAAACUGUCUUCCAAAGUAGAGACAAAAUUCGGCAUUCCCGCCAGGGAUAAAAGGGCAUCUGUCCCUCCACAUCCUCACCAGUAACUGGUGUAGCCAGUGUUUGGGGACUUGCAUUAAUCUAAUAGGUAUGUAAUGUUGUCCUUAAAGAAUUUGCGAAUCCCUAGUAACACACUGAGUUAAGAAUCUUCCCACAGGCUUAUUUUCCAUGUGUGCACCUUUUCUGAUGAGGUUUUUGUUCCUACAUAGUAUUUAUUUCAAUUUUUUUUUAAACAUUGAAAUUCAUGUGUUCUCUGUGUAUUCUGGAUACAAGUUCUUUAUCAGAUACGUGUCUCCAGAUAUGUGUCUCACAAAUACUUCCACCCAGUUCAUUCAUGAAAGUGACUUUUAUAGAGUAGAAGUGUUUUUUUUUUUUAAUUUGAGUGCAUUUUUCUUUCAUAGAUGUUGCUUUUGAUUUGUAUCUAAAAAUUCAUCAUUAAGUUCCUAAGUCAUAUGGAUGUUCUCAAUUAUUUUCUUCUAGAAAAGUUAUAUUUUUACAUUUUUAUAGGCACUUUUAUAAUUCACUUUGAGUUGUUUUUUAUGAAAUGUAUAAAUUCUGUCUAGGUUCAUUGUUUUUUAUAAUGGUGUUCAAGUGUUCCAACACAAUUGUAGAAAAGAGCUUAUCUUUCUCUAUUGAAUGGUCUUUGAGCCUGUAUCAAAACUCAGCUAAAGGGCCGGGGUAGCGCAGUGGUAGGUGCUUGUGCGGUGUGCCUGGGCCCUGGGUGGCACCCCCACUGUCUCACCCACGCAGUUCAGUGUCUCUCUGAGUCGCACUGUCUUAGAAAGCUGUCUUAGAGCUGCUGCCGUAGAAGCCGUAGGAGCAGACAGUGUGCGGGACCUGACUCUUGUUUCUUCAGUGUUGUUUUGGCUCCUUCAAGUUUACUACUUUGCUGCGUAAUGAACUUCAGCAUGAGUCUGUCCAUGUUUACAGNNNNNNNNNNNNNNNNNNNNNNNNNNNNNNNNNNNNUGUUGCUUUUGAUUUGUAUCUAAAAAUUCAUCAUUAAGUUCCUAAGUCAUAUGGAUGUUCUCAAUUAUUUUCUUCUAGAAAAGUUAUAUUUUUACAUUUUUAUAGGCACUUUUAUAAUUCACUUUGAGUUGUUUUUUAUGAAAUGUAUAAAUUCUGUCUAGGUUCAUUGUUUUUUAUAAUGGUGUUCAAGUGUUCCAACACAAUUGUAGAAAAGAGCUUAUCUUUCUCUAUUGAAUGGUCUUUGAGCCUGUAUCAAAACUCAGCUAAAGGGCCGGGGUAGCGCAGUGGUAGGUGCUUGUGCGGUGUGCCUGGGCCCUGGGUGGCACCCCCACUGUCUCACCCACGAAGUUCAGUGUCUCUCUGAGUCGCACUGAUCCGUCUGUCCUUUCACUAGGACAAAGCUGUCUUAGAGCUGCUGCCGUAGAAGCCGUAGGAGCAGACAGUGUGCGGGACCUGACUCUUGUUUCUUCAGUGUUGUUUUGGCUCCUUCAAGUUUACUGCUUUGCUGCGUAAUGAACUUCAGCAUGAGUCUGUCCAUGUUUACAGAGUAACUUACUGGGAUUUUACUGGGAUUGCUUUGAAUUGAAUCUACAUCUCAACCAAGUUGGGCAGAACUGGUAUCUUAACAAUCCUGAAUCUUCCUUUGCAUUAAUAGAGAAUAACUUUCCAUUUAUCUAAAAAUUCUAAAUUUUAUUUCAUCUGUGAUUUGUUGUUUCUCCCAAAAAUAUUUUAUAGUUUUACACCUACCUACCUCUUUAUUUAUUAGUGUUGUCAUAAAAGUUAUUGCUUUUUAAUUUAAAAUUCCACUUGUUCACUGCUGGGUUACAGGAAAACAAUCGGCUUCUGUGCAUUGGCUUUGCAAACUUUCUAUGCUUACCUAUUAGUUCCAGGGGGCUUUUUUUUUUAGACUUUUGUAAUUUUAUACAUAGACAACCGUACCACCUGCAAAUAAAAACAGUAUUUUUCCCCUUUCACAUCUGUGUGUAUGUGUGUGUACUAGCUACAUCUCAAUGCCUAAAGAUGCACUAGCUGCAACUUCAACACACCAAAAUGUUGACACGUAGACCCCCCCUCCCACACACAGGUGUUUAAAGGCUUGGUCCCCACCUAACUGCUGGGGAGAGAUGCUGCAGCCUGUGGGAGGGGAAGCCUGGCGAAGACAUUUCUCAGGUCCUUAGGCCCUGGACACUCACUCUCUCUCUCUCUCUCUCUCUCUCUCUCUCUCUCUCACACACACACACACACACACACACACACACUGCUCCCUGGUGUGAGAGGUCACUGCUUGCUCUUAUCUGAACUUCCACCAUGCUCACACAAGAACCCAAACUAGUAGAAACACCAGAUCUUGCACUUGAACUCCCAGAACCACAAGCCAAAAUAAACCUCUCUCUACUUUACAGGUAGCCUGUGUCAGGCACCUCACUGCAGUGGCAGAAAGCUGACUCAUCAGAGCGCGUCUCUGCCUCGUGUCUGGCGUGAGCCUGUGCUGUGCAGUUCACUCUACGUGUGGUGAACUGUCGUGCUGGCUGUGCAGGUUCUGCAGACGUCCUUUAUCAGGGGGACAUCGUUCUCCUCUGAGGGUGACGAAAGUUUUACCUCGAAUGGAUAUUUCUAAACCAACGGAUAUGAUCAUGUGAUCUCGUGUUGUGUAGACUACUACCUUGGGGGGUUCCAUUCAUUGAUUUUUGAAAGUUAAAUCAGGAUGGCAUACCUAGGUAAAUCCCACUUGUUCUCGAUGUAUCAUCUUUAUUAAAUAUUUCUAGAUAAUGUUUGCUAAUAUUUGGGGGUGGUAUAGUUAAGUUCAUAAGAGAGCUUGCUCUGUGAUCCUCCUUUUAAGUAAUGGCUUUAUUUGGUUUUAUAACUAGGAUGAGAUUUGUGUCAGAGAAUGAGUUGGAAAGUGUUUCUGUUUGUAUUUAUGGAAGACACCUUGAAGUGUGUCAUCUUCUUUUAAUGUUUGGUAGAAUUCACUACAAAAUUAUUUGAAUGUUGUGCUUUCUCUUUUUUAAAGAUUAUUAAUCAUUGAUUGAAUGGUUAUUUUAAAAAAAUUAAACGCUUUUGGUACUGGG
rnacentral:lncRNA from 1 species